CAGCUAGUUGGUGAGGUAAUGGCUCACCAAGGCAACGAUGCGUAGCCGACCUGAGAGGGUGAUCGGCCACACUGGGACUGAGACACGGCCCAGACUCCUACGGGAGGCAGCAGUAGGGAAUCUUCCGCAAUGGACGAAAGUCUGACGGAGCAACGCCGCGUGAGUGAUGAAGGUUUUCGGAUCGUAAAACUCUGUUGUUAGGGAAGAACAAGUACGAGAGUAACUGCUCGUACCUUGACGGUACCUAACCAGAAAGCCACGGCUAACUACGUGCCAGCAGCCGCGGUAAUACGUAGGUGGCAAGCGUUGUCCGGAAUUAUUGGGCGUAAAGCGCGCGCAGGCGGUCCUUUAAGUCUGAUGUGAAAGCCCACGGCUCAACCGUGGAGGGUCAUUGGAAACUGGGGGACUUGAGUACAGAAGAGAAGAGUGGAAUUCCACGUGUAGCGGUGAAAUGCGUAGAGAUGUGG
rnacentral:rRNA from 1 species